rnacentral:lncRNA from 1 species
AUCAUGCUAGGAUGUCCUUGUUCUAUUGCAAGUCAAUCUAGAGGUGUUUUAGGUUGAGUAAAAUUUGUGCGCCGUUGCCGGGGAAGGUUUUAGGCGCUUUAAUUGUGUCACUUUGUUUUCUGUUUUUACUUGCUUUGUUUUUUUCCUUUUUCUUGUUUUUGUCUUCUGCCGGUGUGUUUGAUCCAUUUGUUAGUGUAGUGUAAGCUGGGACGCCGUAGUCUGAAAAGAAAACUUGUGUCUCCUUUGGACAACACUAACAUAGGUAUUUUUAGAAAGAACUGCAUCAAAGAAGUUUUUGCAGACAGAGCAGACGAUUCUGAGUCUGGUUCUGACGGAAAGGCACGUGAUAGAGCAGACGAUUCUGAGUCUGGCUCUCAUGGAAAGGC